rnacentral:rRNA from 1 species
AUUGAACGCUGGCGGCAUGCCUUACACAUGCAAGUCGAACGGCAGCACGGGUGCUUGCACCUGGUGGCGAGUGGCGAACGGGUGAGUAAUACAUCGGCACAUGUCCUGUAGUGGGGGAUAGCCCGGCGAAAGCCGGAUUAAUACCGCAUACGAUCUACGGAUGAAAGCGGGGGACCUUCGGGCCUCGCGCUAUAGGGUUGGCCGAUGGCUGAUUAGCUAGUUGGGGGGGUAAAGGCCUACCAAGGCGACGAUCAGUAGCUGGUCUGAGAGGGCGACCAGCCACACUGGGACUGAGACACGGCCCAGACUCCUACGGGAGGCAGCAGUGGGGAAUUUUGGACAAUGGGCGAAAGCCUGAUCCAGCAAUGCCGCGUGUGUGAAGAAGGCCUUCGGGUUGUAAAGCACUUUUGUCCGGAAAGAAAUCCUUGGCCCUAAUACGGUCGGGGGAUGACGGUACCGGAAGAAUAAGCACCGGCUAACUACGUG